rnacentral:rRNA from 1 species
CCUACGGGAGGCAGCAGUGAGGAAUAUUGGUCAAUGGGCGUAAGCCUGAACCAGCCAAGUCGCGUGAGGGAUGACGGUUCUAUGGAUUUUAAACCUCUUUUAUAAAGGAAUAAAACGAGGCACGUGUGCCUUUUUGCAUGUACUUUAUGAAUAAGGAUCGGCUAACUCCGUGCCAGCAGCCGCGGUAAUACGGAGGAUCCGAGCGUUAUCCGGAUUUAUUGGGUUUAAAGGGAGCGUAGAUGGGUUGUUAAGUCAGUUGUGAAAGUUUGCGGCUCAACCGUAAAAUUGCAAUUGAUACUGGCAGUCUUGAGUACAGUUGAGGUAGGCGGAAUUCGUGGUGUAGCGGUGAAAUGCUUAGAUAUCACGAAGAACCCCGAUUGCGAAGGCAGCUUACUAAACUGUGACUGACAUUGAUGCUCGAAAGUGUGGGUAUCAAACAGGAUUAGAUACCCGUGUAGUC